AAUCUUGGCUUCUUGUUUUAUAAAACACUAGAGUCUAUGAUGAACAAAAGCCCAGAGGUUAAAUAUUAUCACUUGUAACUUUAAAUACAAAGCACUAAACACAUUUAAAGUCACCUGUAAUGAUAUUUAACUCUUGGUUUCUUGUUAAGUAUAUAGCGUAUGAAAACUGAUUAAACAAGAUAUAUUAUAUCUUAUAUUUAUUUAUUUCUCUCUAUGAAAUAAUCGUAAGCUCAGCCCCCUUCUGUCAUUACUAAUGUCAGUCUCAUUCUGAUGGACAGUUUAUAAAGAGCAGGAGACUUCACUCUUCUCACAGUCAUGGACUUCUCUGCACAGGAAUAAAAUCAGGUUCUUUUUACUUAAGUUAUUAUUAAUACCAUUACAGUUGUUGUUGUUUUUCUAAUCUUAGCUUUGACUUCCAUCACUAUUAAAUACUGACCAAAGUUUAAUGUUUUAAUGUAACAGAGUAUCCAGAACCAUGGGUGCCCAGGUUUCAGUCGUCAAUCAGACUCCUUACACCUGGUACUUUGCCACUCAAGACAGAGGGUAUACAUACAUCGGUCCUGGCAGCACAACAUCCUAUAAAGAGUCUCUGGCAAUCCAUCGCUACAUCCACAUCAGAUAUGAAAAUCACUCGUGGAAUAGUUUUUCAUACGAGUUUAACACCCAUAAAGGUGACACAUCUUUUAUCCUAAGAGAAACCUACGACCGUUCCCAGAUUCAGUUGCACUGCACCUCUGAAGGCGGCACUCAUUACUGUCCCAACUACGGAAAAAUUAAAGAAGAUGAAAACCGGAGACAGCAGCAGGAGGAGGAGAGAAGACGUCAGGAACGACAAAUCGAAGAAGAUAACAAACGGAGACAGCAAGAAGAGGAGAGAAGACGUCUGGAACGUUUGGAACGUGAACAAAGGAUUCAACAGGAGCUGGACAGAGAGAGUGAACUGUCCAGACGCAAGCUUUCUCGAGCAACUGACCGGCUUCGUGAAAAACAGAGCUUCAGAGGUCAUGAGAAACAUCAUGAACGUAUACAAGUUCUCCAACAGCAAAUAGAAGAUGAUGCUGCUGCGAUCGAGAGGAACGAGGUUAUCGAUAUCGAAGAAAAAUUCAACAACCUUUUAUUUAAGUAUCAGAUCACAGAAGAUAAAGAAAUACAGCAGCACCAGAUUUGGAGCAGGAUUAAGAUACUCCUGAAUGAAGUUGCAGUUCAAUAUUGUAGAGAAAACAACCUUUCACUAUGGUCUCAGUUUACCUUUGAUCAAGCUGUAAGAUAUAACGAACUGUCUCUUACAGAGAAGCUCACAGUUCUUGAGGCAUCUCUACAGUUCACUAUGCACACUAGCACUGAAGAUGCUAAAGAUGAUGAAGAUCAGCCGCUUGGUUGGGAGAAGUACCACUUUUUCUUGGGUUUGUUGGAGCAGCUUCAUUUCACAAGUCCAACUUUGGCCGAACGCAUUUUAUUAAAUGUGCUUGACACAAUCUCAGAGCUUUCACUCAAAAGUAGGGACAUUUUGGGUCAAAUGUUGUUCAACAGAAUCUGGACACCAACAGAAAUAAUGCUCUUACUUUGCAGAAGUCCAACUAUCAAAUGCCAUCAACUUGAUUCAGUUCUCCACACAGCACAAACCUACCACCUGGACUGCAUCAUCAUUAUCUCUGCUCUUACAAAUAAAAACCCUUUAAACUUUCUUCAAGAACAAAUAAAAAAUGACAAGGAAAAAGAUGCUGAUACAAUUGUGAAGGAACUUCAUGAAGCAAACUGCCCAGAGAAAGUCUUGGUGCCUUUGAAUGAUGUGCUCAGAUACAUGGAGUUGGAACUCCCAAAAUAUCAACUGGUGGACCUAACCAAAGAACAAAUUGCUGAAUUGAAAGGAAAGAUACAAUCUCUUAAUUUUACAAACCUAGAUAUAAACCUUUUGAAAGACAUAUUAAUUGGGAUGUCAAUAGCAGUGCAAGACUGCUCAACAAUCAUCACAGCAGACAAUGUGAAAAUUGAAGGAUAUUUUCCAAGACUUACACAACUAGCAUCACUGCUUUUGCUUCUUCUGACAGAAAAUAAAGGAUGUCUCCUAGAGAUUGGCACAGGUGAGGGCAAGUCCUGUAUCUUAGCCAUGUUUGCAACAAUUCUGGCUAUUCGUGGAACAAAAGUGGACAUUGUGACAAGCUCUCCAGUUCUCGCCCGACGAGACCAAGAAGAGUGGCAAAAGUUUUUUGAAAUGUUUGGUGUCACCUCAUCUGUAGUACCCCCACAUUACUCAAGUGACUAUUCACCAGAGAAACAAGAGGAAUGUCUUAAAGAUGCUUACCGGCAGCAAAUAGUAUAUGGCACAGUGGGAGCCUUUGCAGCAGACACACUAAAACAGGAAUUUGAGAAGAGGACAACUCGCGGUACAAGGCAGUUUGAGCUUGUAAUAGUGGAUGAAGUGGACUAUAUGACCUUGGACAAUGGAGUUCAAGUAACAUUCUUGUCCCAUGAAUCUAGUGGAUUCAGGCAUGUGGAGCAAGUGCUUUCCAACAUAUGGGCCAUGAUAUCUAGUUGCCAACCAAUUGAAAUGAUUGAAACAGGAGAGGUAAAAUGGGCCACAAGGAUACAAUACUUUCAUAAAGCCACAACGGCAGCCAUUAUGGGACUAGAAACAUCAGACAACUUUUCUGCAAAUGAGAUCUUAUUGCCCGGAGUGACUUUGGGAUUCUACACCCACGAAGAUAUUGAAAUGAUACAACAAGCUGAGAGUAAGAAAGAAAAUGAAGGUGAUGGGAAUGAGGACAGAAUGUCCAAAACAUUAUCUGAAGUCAUGAAAAAACUGGGAGUUUCACAACAGUAUGAUCUCUUGGGUAUAUUUGAGGAGGUCUUGGAAAACAGUGUGGUGUUUAAGUGCUAUUCUUUAGAGAACAAGAAAGCCAAAUGUUUUGACGCUCAGGAAAAACAAGGUGACCUUAAAGUUGAAAUGCUCCUGCUGGAAGGAGGACUGGCAUGUGAAAUCAUGUCUGAGAAAUCACUCAUUGAUGCAACUGUAAGCACAAUAAAGUCAUCUAUCAAGUACUCAGAUAACCUCCAGACAGCCAAAGAAUCCAACAACUUCAUUAUCAUCCCUGUUUUCUUGAAAAGCUACGUUGAGAAUCAGUUACUGGUGUUUGUCGAAAAUGCACUGAAGGCUGUUGAGAUGACGCGUGGCAGAGAAUACAUGAUCGACACCUCGCCGGCUGCUGAAAGAGACAUCGCCAACAGUCAAGACAGAGACAAGUAUAAUGCAGUAAUUCCAGUGGACUUCAAAGCAAGCGGUGUGCUGGAGAAAAACAAGAAGUGGGGUAAUGGUCUGCAACAAUUUUUAGAGUUCAAGCACCAACUCGCGAUUUCACCGAUAUCCAAUGUGACAAAUUACAUGUCAAAUUUCCAUUAUUUUAAAAGGUACCUCAGCGGGAGAGGUAUAUUUGGUGUUUCUGGUACAUUAGGAGGUAAAGCAGAUCAGGACUUUCUGGCAAGACAUUAUAAAGCAACAAGCUACAUUGUACCUGCACAUCGCCAUAAAAGGGUGGUGGAGCUACCAGUCAUCCAGGUGAAAGGUGGAAAUCACCAAUGGAUCCAGACUAUUUGUGAAACUUCAUGGAAAGUAGCAGAGAGAGGACAAGUUGUCUUGGUAAUUUGUGAAGACGUUAAAACAGCAGAUGAACUACAUAAGAAAAUACAAGUUGAAGAAUACGGAAUAAAGGCAGAACAGAUUACUCUGUAUACGAUCAGUGAGAAGCACAAUAUUGAAAGAGAGAAAUUCUGUGCAGGCAGAAUCAUCAUUGCUACAAAUCUGGGAGGACGGGGGACAGACAUAAAGGUUGAUGAAAGUGUGAAUAAGUGUGGCGGUCUUUUUGUUCUUCUUACUCACUUCCCACACAACCGAAGAGUGGAGAAACAAAUAUUUGGUCGUACGUCUCGAAAAGGCAAUCCUGGGAUGGUCCAGAUGGUUUUGAACUGUGAUCAUCUCGCACCCGCUUACCAAGGUCAGUCUGUAGAAAUCAUGCGCCAGCUAAGAGAGGAUUAUGAAAUUAAACGAAUCCAAGACAUGGAAAAUGAUGAGCUGGUUGAGAUAAACGUAAAGGAAAAUCUAUUCUCCACAUUUUGUAAAUUGCUUAAGGAAUUUGAUGGGUAUUACUCAGAGAAAGAAAAACUGGAUCCUAUGCGAAUGCAGCUCAAUGAUAUUCCUGAUUACUUUAAACAUCAUCGGCCUAAGUUUGAUUAUCAGCCUGCCAUCAAUGCUUUGAAAGAAUCUUGGGCCUUGUGGUUAACCCUUCAUGAGGAUCACAUCAAUAGGCAUGACGACUUCGGACAGCUUAAAGCUGACCUUAUCAGUACAAUAAAUGAAACAAGUGGAAAGCUGCUGCGAGGGGAAUGUGAUAAUUUCUAUGAUCACGUCAAACAGGCAAUUGUUAGAACUGAUCUACACUGCCGUGAAAAAUCCAAAAAUGAUUAUGGAGCUAAAUCCUGUUGGCAAAAAGUUGCAAACUCUGACCCACACUACAGGGCUGUGGCACUGUAUAACCAGGCGUAUAUCACUAUUAACCUCGGUAAAGGUAACUAUAAAGCAGAUGCUAUGAACCUGCUCGAAGACGCAAAGAAAUCCAUUGAUGUCUACAUCUCAGAUGUCUCAAACACAAUGGUCUCAUGUAACUUAUCAGUCACUGGAAACAAAGAUCAGAGCACAGAGAGCAACAACUUUCAGAGUCAAAUGGAGGCCAGAAUGAACAUCUUUAAGUCUUGGAUGACAUACAUUGAUAAUGCAUUGAUUAAACUUAAAGAGCUGGAAAAAGACAACAGUGACGCCAUUACAGAGGAGUGUUCAGUCUACAUGCUGUCCGAAGAAAAGAACUUCAUCAUCACUAAUGAGCUGAGAUCCUUAUACGACUAUGGCCUCGGUGUUGUUUUUGAGGUGAAAAAAAAGCCCAAGUUUUGCAUAGAUGCUUUGAUAUGUUUCAUACUCGGCGUGGUACAGGUUCUCGCUGGGGUUCUUGUUUGUGCGCUGACAUUUGGAACAGCCAGCCAGUUUGGAAUGGGCCUGAUUUCAGAAGGAGUGUCUGACAUGAUCAGUGGAGUAGAGGGGAUGAUAAAGGGUUCAUUCGAUUGGGUGUCAUGGGCAAUAUCUAAGAGUAUCAGCAUUGGGCUUUCUUUGAUAACGGCUGGUUUUAGCAUGAUCAAAAAAGCAGUUACCUCAGUGUUUAAAGUGACAAAAAGUCUCCUCAAUGGUACAAAAUCUUUUUCUUCUGUUGCAUCUGAAUUCAUCAAAUCAGGAAAGGCAAUGUUUACUUCAUUCAAAGGAGGUGUUCAGUCUGGUUUAUCAUCUGUCAGUAAGGAAUCUUUUAAAUCUGCGAUGAAAAACAUGACAUCAUCUACAGUGCUUAAACAGAACUUCAAAUUUGCGACUAAAUAUGUAGUUCAGGAAAUCGGGAAACAGUCUGUGCUCACUGCCAUGAACUACGCAAUGGAUGCAGCCCUUCAGGAAGUCUUUAAGAAGAUUUUACAAAGCUGCUUUGAGAAUGUUGUUACUUCAUCGGUGAAGCAGAGCAGUAAACUCGAUCAGGCUCUUGUGGAGUUUAUCAGCUCAGGCAUUCCGAAAGCUGCAUUGACAAAAGAUGAUUUCAAGAUUGACCAGGAUUAUGAGAAGCAAGUAAAAAAAUCAGUUGGCAUGCUCUGUGAAGAGGUAAUUCCUGACCUCAUACUGGACUGUACCACAGCACGGGAUGUUAUCAGCAAACUCUCUGAGGUGUGUGAAAAAGCAGAAGAGCUUAUGAAUAAAGCCAAACUGUCAGGAGUGUACGAAAUGACAAAGCUGGCUCUGAAAGUAGCUGAGUGCUCAGCAGGUCUUACUCAAAUAUUGGGUGCCAUACCAACAGAAGAGAUAAUACAACAGAAAUUUGUUCCUGAAUUAUUGGAGAACAUCAGUGAGCUUCAGAAUGAAAUGACAAAGUAUGACCAAGAUGGACGACACAAUUUACAUGAUGUACAGCGCCUUAAAGGUGAACUUCUACAGACUAUCGCCCAGAAGGUGUCUGACCAAUUCAUCAGUUCUUGUUCUGAACAUAUAAAUUCUUUAAGAACAGCAUAUUUAAGAGUCACUUGA
ensembl:lncRNA